rnacentral:snoRNA from 1 species
AAGCUUGAAGACGAGGAGAUUGCAUCAUACAUCCUCAUCGGUCUCAACGUCGACUUCAACCCUGUCGUCUCUGUGAUGGCGGCACACGCCGAACCCAUCACACUUGGUGAGCUCUAUACCCAACUUGUUUCCUUUGAAC